AAUUCUUGACUGAGGGUGCAGGGUGAUGAAGUGGGGGAUUUGAAUCUAGGGCUAUGAUACCAGAGUGUCAGCACAGGUGACAAUACUACAAGCUCCCGAGAUAAUUUGAGAAUUCGAAUGGAUUCUUGUGAUCAGCACCAAGGACAGCACCGCCCCACAGGAGGAACCCAAUAAGUGCAGAUGAGGGAGUGGAGGCCGAGUUAAUUUCCUCAGCUAUGAAACAGGAGUAAGAGCACUACCAAAUUCUCGUGCUCAUUACGAGAACUUAAAUAGAUGUCAAGGUCCUGCACCAAAGGCAGUGCUUGGCCAAGUUCAGCUGGCAAGGACGUGAGUGAGACAGGAUUCAAAUGCAGACAACUCCGAUGUCCAAACACGCGCACCCCGCCUUACAGCCCUGGCCUUGGCUCUGUGUGCAGCUGCAGGAAAACCACCCAAGCUGACCUGGUCUCAGUCCCCCUUCUGUGAAAUGGAGACAACACUUUAUCCCUGCUGCUCCCUGGGUGUGGGAGACCCCGUAAUGAGAUGGAAGUGAUAAAGCAUUUUGCAAAAGAACAGAGUCCUCAGCCGAGGUGACCAAGUGUCAUUAUGAUGAAGAUGUUUGUAAUUAUUAUCAUUCUGCUUCUUCCCUACUUCCUUUGCUACCCUGCUGGGCCUGGGGAUACCCUAGGUUCACAUUUAGUUUCUCAAAUAUUUAUAAAAAAUGAGUCCUACCCCCUGCUGCUGCCAGCACUGCACAGAAUGCUUUCUAUUAAAAAUUCAAAACCACUUGUCGAGUCCCGGGAGCACUCAGAUUACACAGGAAACAAGCCCUUUCUCAAACUCCAGCCUCCCUGUUCCCUCCCCAAUUCCUUCUUCCAUCGUCACUUAUAAUCACGGCUUGCUAGGCUGGUCUUGACCUUGCUUCCCACCACCCUGACCACGGCAGCCUAACAUAGACGAAUGAUACACAGGAGACACAGGAAAGAGUGUGUGUGUGUGUGUGUGUG